rnacentral:rRNA from 1 species
UACUGAGGGUGCAAGCGUUGUUCGGAAUUAUUGGGCGUAAAGGGCGCGUAGGCGGUAAUGCUAGUCAGAUGUGAAAUACUCCGGCUCAACCGGGGAACUGCAUCUGAAACUGCAUAACUAGAGUACAGAAGAGAGAAACGGAAUUCCCGGUGUAGAGGUGAAAUUCGUAGAUAUCGGGAGGAACACCAGUGGCGAAGGCGGUUUCCUGGUCUGAUACUGACGCUGAGGCGCGAAAGUGUGGGGAGCAAACAGGAUUAGAUACCCCUGUA